CACAGUGUCUACCUUUUUAAUGUUUGUGGAAAUCUGACUUCCACUUCAGUUCCAUCUCCAAUUCACCUUUUUCAUUCUUCAGUGUUGGUUUCCCAUUGCACUGCUUCUCUCUGACUCACUCACAUCUUCUUAUCUUUUUUUGCUUACUAUAUUUUCUUUGUAAAAAGUUGAUGCAAUGAUAGAGUUGGUCCGCGCUUGUGAAUCACUCCGUCUUUGUCCUUUUUGGGUUGUAGCAGGAAAAUUUCUAGGAGCACUGAGGACUCUAUCAGAAGAAAGUCAAUUUAUCUUAGCUUGAUGGCUCUGGGGCCACAAUUCAAGAUUUGGUUCAUCAUGCUGUCUAUUGUUGUCUUCCACACGCUAAAGAUGCAAGGUGUAAUUAUUUAUACUUGUUAUUUAUACUCUUUUUUUUUUUUCAACAAUGAAAUCUUUGGUAUUGUUGGUUGUUCAUUUAUUGCAUACAUCAAUUGCAUUUACUUCGAGAAGAAAGGAAUUACAAAAAUGAGAUGCUGGGAAGGAGCAGAGGAGGAUUCGUAUUCCAAAAAUAUAACCAUUUUCCGGAGGGAUUGCUAAUCGUUGUAUUGCAGGUAACAGGAUGCUGUGUUGAUUGGAAUGCUAACAGUUCCGGAGACGAUUUACUAUUCAGCUUAAUUGCGUCUCCCCUACAAGAUGCCAUUAUCAGAGAAACGGACACUGGUUGAUAGCACAAUUGUUUAAAUGGCACAAGAUUGUGCUGAUACGUUUGUUGGGGAUUGACACGUACGUGGUAUUACUUGGGAGGAAAGAAGAGGGUUAGUAUUGCACUUGAGAUUCUAAUGAGGCCUACAAUACUCUUUCUUGAUGAACCAACAAGUGGACUAGAUUUGGGCCGAGGAUAUUCAAGAAAGGAUCUUGGUAUGAGCUACAUGAAGGAAAAAAGACAGAAAGUGAAUAGGGGUUUGGAAAGGUUGCAUGAGAGAGUAAACAACAAGACAAAGUGGAAGAGAAGUACAUUCUUCUUUAUUUUGAAUACAAGCUUAUCAGAAGAGUUCCCAAUCUCCGUUUUAUAUGUGGUUUGUGAAUAUAAUUUGGCAAUCAUUUAGAAAAAGCAGGGGAAAAGAGUAUUAAGUUCACUUUCCUCUAUCAGCUAGACUUUGAGUCUAUUUGUGCAAAUGUCACUUUGAGCCAUUGAAGGGUAGCAUGGAAACAAUGUGAUGGUAUAUAAGGACACUCAGAUGCCAAAGAGUAGGUAUUGAUUUGGAUGCUCCAGAUGUGAAGUGGAAGCGAGAUUUUUUUUUAAAAAAUUCUACGUGUGUCAACAGUUUCCCAAUAUAAGUUGUGUUACAAAUUGGCAUCUUGUACGUUGUCAUAAUGUUUUUUUCCCAUAUCGGCUUUAAAACCUUAUAGUUUAUUGUUGGAGGUUACUCCCUACAGGAGAAAUAGUAUUUGUUUUCAUCGUCAAGAGGUUUCCAUCACGUGUUUGACAUUUCAAGCGGAAUAUUGUUUAGAUGGAUGUAAAAUGGACUUGCAUUAACAUUGAAAGAUAUAUUUGGUUUC